AGCGAACGCUGGCGGCGUGGAUUAGGCAUGCAUGUCGAGCGAGAACGGGGAGCAAUCCCUUAGUAAAGCGGCACACGGGUCAGUAAUGCGUGGAUAACUUGCCCUCGAGACUGGGAUAACGGCGGGAAACUGCCGCUAAUACCGGAUGGCCUCGCGGACCGGCAUCGGACUGCGAGUAAAGGUGGGGACCGAAAGGCCUGCUGCUCGAGGAGAGGUUCACGACCUAUCAGCUAGUUGGUGAGGUAACGGCUCACCAAGGCGACGACGGGUAGGCGGGCUGAGAGGCUGACCGCCGACACUGGGACUGAGAACUGCCCAGACUCCUACGGGAGGCUGCAGUCGAGAAUCUUCCGCAAUGGACGCAAGUCUGACGGAGCGACGCCGCGUGCGGGAUGAAGGUCUUUGGAUUGUAAACCGCUGUCACGCGUUAUGAAUGCGCAUCAGUUAAUACCUGCUGCGUUGACAAAGGCGCGAGAGGAAGUCACGGCUAACUCUGUGCCAGCAGCCGCGGUAAUACAGAGGUGGCAAGCGUUGCUCGGUAUCACUGGGCUUAAAGGGCGCGUAGGCGGUGCGGUACGGUUUCGGUGAAAUCCCUCGGCCCAACCGAGGAACAGCCGGGGCUACGGCCGCACUAGACGGCAUCAGGGGACAGUGGAACUUCCGGUGGAGCGGUGAAAUGCGUAGAUAUCAGAAGGAACGCCGGUGGCGAAAGCGACUGUCUGGGGUGCCUGUGACGCUGAGGCGCGAAAGCCAGGGGAUCAAACGGGAUUAGAUACCCCGGUAGUCCUGGCCCUAAACGAUGCGCACUANGUAGCGGGAGGUUCCGACUUCCCGCUGCCCGGAGUAAAAUCUUA
rnacentral:rRNA from 1 species